CUGCAUCCACUGAAGCCCAGACCUGCUGCCUGCAGGACCUCACCCAGGCACCAGGUCGUGCCUGGCGCCUCCUUGAUGCCAGGCCCUGGGGAGACCCGUGGCCACAAAACACAUGUUCUCCCUAGAGGUGGACAGCACGCCCCUCUCUUACGAAGAAGCUGUCGUUCUUUCUUCUUUGCCCGUCCCUCCGCCCACCGACCCAUCUCUGCCCCUCUCUAGAGCAAAGCUUCUGCCAAGCCGGCCCUGCUCCCUGUCUGCCUCUCCUGCCACCACCCACUCCCACGUUUUAAAUACAAGGGUCGGUUCUCA
rnacentral:antisense_RNA from 1 species